UUAAAUUAAAAUGGUGUAUUUAAUCUUUUCAGAACUGACUUGACAUUGCAAGAGGGUCUUGAGGAACACUGAUUUUGUUUAUUAUUGCCUCGUUGUGUAUUCUGAUUUAUACAAGUGCACCUCAUCACUUCAAAAUGGCAUGUAAACAAACGGCAAAAUAUGCCGCUGUUCCUCUUGCUAUACAAAGUUGGAAAUUUUUCAAGCUCUUGAGGAAAACCUGAAUCAGAUAUAAGUCACCAAGCAAUUUGAUGUUUCCCGUUCUGAAUCUGAAUAUCUAAAUUUGGAUCAUAUCAGGAGAGUUCUAUCAGAUUGUGGGGGGAAAAAAGUUGAAACCAGGUCGUACUUUAACUAUUGGGCUUCUUCCUACUAGUAAGUCAAGGACAUUCGUGUAUACAUUGCUGAUCUAAAAAAAUGAUUAGACAGGGCUAAUUUCUGUUGAAGACAUUUUGGCCUCAGUUUUCUGUUACCCCUGGUUACAAAUGUAGUAUCUAUGCUUAAUUUUGCUGAAUUAAAAAAAAAAGUCCUUUUUACCUUACAAAACAAUACUUUUAUAUUAUUUUGUGUUCAAAUGUUUAAGCUGGUUUUCAAAUGGUUUAUCAAUGGUCAUUUCUCAAAAAUGAAAACAUGUUGGCAAUAGUAAGGAACAAAAAUUAACUUGUGAUUUGUACACACUGCUUUAAAAAAAAAAAAAAAAAGCUUAAACCUGCCCU